rnacentral:rRNA from 1 species
GCAAGUCGAGCGGUAACAGAUCUAGCUUGCUAGAUGCUGACGAGCGGCGGACGGGUGAGUAACGCGUAGAAAACUGCCCAGGAGUUGGGGAUAGCCCGGCGAAAACCGGAUUAAUACCGCAUACGCUGUCCGGAGGAAAGGGGGCUGCGGCUCUCGCUAUUGGAUGUGUCUGCGUGAGAUUAGCUAGUUGGUGAGGUAAGGGCUCACCAAGGCGACGAUCUCUAGCUGGUCUGAGAGGAUGAUC